rnacentral:rRNA from 1 species
AGACUUCGGUCUCUGAGUAGAGCGGCGCACGGGUGAGUAACGCGUGGAUGAUCUACCCUUGAGUUCGGGAUAACGGUGCGAAAGCGCCGCUAAUACCGUAUAACAAUCCAUUUCAUCGUGGGUUCAAAGCAGGCCUCUUCAUGAAAGCUUGCGCUUGGGGAUGAGUCCGCGUCCCAUUAGCUUGUUGGCGGGGUAACGGCCCACCAAGGCUACGAUGGGUAGCUGGUCUGAGAGGAUGAUCAGCCACACUGGAACUGAAACACGGUCCAGACUCCUACGGGAGGCAGCAGUGGGGAAUAUUGCGCAAUGGGGGAAACCCUGACGCAGCGACGUCGUGUGAGGGAAGAAGGCCUUCGGGUCGUAAACCUCUGUCAGAAGGGAAGAACAUCCGGGAGUCGAACAGCCUCCCGGCCUGACGGUACCUUCAGAGGAAGCGCCGGCUAACUCCGUGCCAGCAGCCGCGGUAAUACGGAGGGCGCAAGCGUUAAUCGGAAUCACUGGGCGUAAAGCGUGCGUAGGCUGUUUGAUAAGUCAGACGUGAAAUCCCUCGGCUCAACCGGGGAACUGCGUUUGAUACUGUUGAACUAGAGUCCU